rnacentral:misc_RNA from 1 species
GAUGAAGAACGCAGCGAAAUGCGAUAAGUAAUGUGAAUUGCAGAAUUCAGUGAAUCAUCGAAUCUUUGAACGCACAUUGCGCCCGCCAGUAUUCUGGCGGGCAUGCCUGUCCGAGCGUCAUUUCAACCCUCGAACCCCUCCGGGGGGUCGGCGUUGGGGAUCGGCCCCUCACCGGGCCGCCCCCGAAAUCCAGUGGCGGUCUCGCCGCAGCCUCUCCUGCGCAGUAGUUUGCACACUCGCACCGGGAGCGCGGCGCGGCCACAGCCGUAAAACACCCCAAACUCUGAAAUGUUGACCUCGGAUCAGGUAGGAAUACCCGCUGAACUUAAGAAUAUCAAUAAGCGGAGGA